GAUGAACGCUGGCGGCGUGCCUAAUACAUGCAAGUCGAGCGAACAGACGAGGAGCUUGCUCCUCUGACGUUAGCGGCGGACGGGUGAGUAACACGUGGAUAACCUACCCAUAAGACUGGGAUAACUUCGGGAAACCGGAGCUAAUACCGGAUAAUAUAUUGAACCGCAUGGUUCAAUAGUGAAAGACGGUUUUGCUGUCACUUAUAGAUGGAUCCGCGCCGCAUUAGCUAGUUGGUAAGGUAACGGCUUACCAAGGCGACGAUGCGUAGCCGACCUGAGAGGGUGAUCGGCCACACUGGAACUGAGACACGGUCCAGACUCCUACGGGAGGCAGCAGUAGGGAAUCUUCCGCAAUGGGCGAAAGCCUGACGGAGCAACGCCGCGUGAGUGAUGAAGGUCUUCGGAUCGUAAAACUCUGUUAUUAGGGAAGAACAAAUGUGUAAGUAACUAUGCACGUCUUAACGGUACCUAAUCAGAAAGCCACGGCUAACUACGUG
rnacentral:rRNA from 1 species